CCUCAACACAGAGACGAAUCCAUUUCUGACUCUUCCACUGUCACUGAAGGAUGCUAACAAUUCAACCUUCAGUGUGGAGCGUGGCUUUGACAACGUUUUCCGGACAAAAUCCUUCAUCGGAGACAACCUGGUGUACUGUGAGCAAUGUGGAAAGAAAACAGAGGCCACCAGAGAAUGUGAGAUGGUGGAAUUUCCUCGUAUUCUGGUUCUACUUCUAAAGAGAUUUGACUUUGACAACAACACCAUGUCACAUUUCAAAUCAGACCGCAUGGUAGUGAUGCCACAUACAUUACAG